GUGUUCUGUGUGAUUUUGUGUUGAAUUUUUUGCUAUAUAAGUGCCUGGUUUGGGUUUUCAAUGCCUAGAACUCAUUCACAAAAUUGUGCUAUCUACUAUCUACAUUGCUAUUUGGUGUGAUUUUGCAAGGUUUUCUCGAUGGCUUUCUUGGCUGCUGUGGGCAGUGUUGCAUCGCUCUGUCCUCCAAAUCACUUUCCCGAUUCCUUCUCUGAAGCAAAUCUAAGGUGAAGAUUGCCAGGUACAGCAGCUUGAUCUUCUUCCAGAUUUUGCACCCUAGCACACAUGAUCUAUAUUUAGCUCUAGCCUGGGUUUGGCGACAAGAAAGGCUGGGUCUUUGUGAGUAGCGAUUGGAAUCGGAUCCAUCCAGGUCUAUAUUUCUUGCUUUCGAUUCACCGCCUGCCUGAGAAGAAGCACGCGGUCACAGUCACGCCGCAGCCUCGUCGCUGGACAUCCGUCGUUCCUGCUCGCCCUCCACGACAAUUCUCUUCCGCCGCCAGAGAGGUUUUGUUGCUUUCUUCCUUCCUUUUCUCAUCAAACUCACCCCAUUUGAGAGGCUCUCAACUCCACACUUGAUGAGGAAAUGUCAGCAGAUCCUAAAGUCUUUUUGAUGGGUGAAGAGGUUGGGGAAUAUCAGGGUGCAUACAAGAUAACCAAGGGUCUGUUGGAGAAGCUGGGUUUACUAGGAUUGGAGUUGGCGCUGCUUACUAUGGUCUAAGACCUGUCGUGGAGUUUAUGACAUUUAACUUCUCCAUUGUCUCUUCCCUCCGGAGAGCUUCUUCUUGAAAAGGUAUUAUUAUCUCUCUUAUUUGAAUGUUACUUUGUGGUAAUUUCUUUCUUCUGUUACUUGGUUACUCAAGUCUAAUGAGUCUUCCUGCUUCAUUGUUUUCUAUGUGGCUUGCGAGAUAUCAAAGAGACAUCAUUGGAUCCUUUACCAUCCUCUACUAUAAGCCUUAGAAACCCCUGUUGAAGAACUUUGUGGUUCUCCAUUCUUUAGUUUGUGUAAAGUUGAUGUUACUUUUUAUAUUUAUUUCAGUAUAUUUCAAUCUUUGAGCCUGACAAUUUUUUUUACUGUGUAAAAUGAAAACCUUUUUAUUCCAUAUAGAUUCUGAAUGGUAAGCACCCAGUAUCUUGAAAUUUGGCUGGUUUUUGUGUUCUGACUUCUACUCUUUAAUUUUCAGGUGAUGUGUAUUCAAAUGUAAUAUUUUAUCUGCACUUGAUGAAUUAGUUGGGCUUACUCCUUGGAGUUUCUAAGUCACAACUAUAUUGAGUCUCCAGUGUUGUCGCUACUGUUGGCCCUGGAAGCAGUAGCAAUAACAUGCCAACUUUAAAGGAGUACAGAACCAAUUUGACUGACAUAGCAGAGGAGGCUGCUCUGGAAUCCAGAAAUGAAGAGGAAAGGUUAGGUGUGGCAGAAGAAUUCAAGGUAGAGGAAAGGAUUGAUUUGGAAAAUACUAACAACUGCCAUGACCCAAAGACACUAGGAAGAGCUUGAGAGAUAUAUACAUAAAAUUUGUAUAGGAUUAAGAAUUAAAAAAAUGCUACAAAACUUGAUACAGAACUUGCAUAUUAAUGUUGCUAGAAUAUUCUUACUAAAAACAAGAAUUAUAAUAAUAGUUUAAUUUACUUUGACUUAAUAUGAAGGAGAUAAA